GGCAGGAAGGCUGCAUCCAACUGAAGUUAACUGGUCCUUUGUUGCUUCUCCAGUCUAAGCUCUGUGGAGGGACGUCAAGGCCAGAAUGGGAUCCAGAAGGGUGGAGGAUGGGGUUGCCUUAGUAGCAUGAAGGAUUGGUGGGAGGCAAGAAGAGCCGAAAGUUACUUUUUAAAUAAUUUGGCUCAUAUUUGAAUUUAUCUGAUUAGUAGAGCAAUGUCUGGCAUCCCUCCUGCUUGGAAGGCAGACUUCCCUUUUCCAGCCAAAUUCAGUAAGUUUCAGGAAUUGUCUGGAAUUUUUGUGGAAUCAUGAGAAAAUUUGAACACAAAUAUCUCCCGUGGACUAACUGAGCAAGAACUCAUUUAUCACCAAGGGGAUGGUGCCAAGCCAUUCAUGAGGGAUCUGCGCCUGUGAUCCGAACACCUUCCACUAGGCUCCACUUCCAACACUGGGAAUCACAUUUCAACAUGAGAGUUGGAGUUGACAAAUGUCCAAACCAUGUCUCCAUCCAACCAUCUAUACAGAUCUUGGAUUCAAGAAGCCUUAUGCCUCUUGGCUAAAAAGAGUUUGAAAAUCCUGACUCGGCCCAUUGGAGCUAAAAAAACUGGAUCUCACAAAAGUAAAGAGCAGACUGAUGGUAACCAGAGGCUGUGAAUGGAAGGGGAAAGGGAAGGGAUGCAAGGGAAAAAAAGAAGGACAGGACUAAGAGAAAGGCAGAGAUUCAUGGCUUUUUAAAAUGGUAUUUAUGGUUAUUCCCUCCUCCACCUCAUCCCUAACUUACCGGAAGACAAAAUGACAUGGGAAGAAGAGGAAAGUUGUUAGAAGGGGAGCUCUAGACAGCCAGGAAAGCUGGAGUCACAAGUGGACAAGGAGACCCAUGGAAGCGACUCAUGAUAGAAAUGGUUCUCCUUUGGUCAUCUGCAAACUUUACCCAACAAUGGUAUCUCCUGGUAUCGUAUGAAAUAAAACCAGAAGUCUGGUAUUUUGGUCCCAGCUGUUAAGACUUCUGCCUGGAUUAAGCCUUCUUUUCCAUCUCUCUGAGGGGCCACCCUGCUCAGAUUUCUCACACUUGGGCAACCUGCCUUGAUAUGUGAAUCUUACUUAGGAAAACAGACAAUUUUCUCUGGUCACUAUCUCAGCCCACAAGGGAGAUUUAGCAUUUUUAGUCGACCCUCUUC
rnacentral:lncRNA from 1 species